GAUGAAGAACGUAGCGAAAUGCGAUAAGUAAUGUGAAUUGCAGAACUCAGUGAAUCAUCGAAUCUUUGAACGCACAUUGCGCCCCCUGGUAUUCCGGGGGGCAUGCCUGUCCGAGCGUCAUUGCUGCCCUCAAGCACGGCUUGUGUGUUGGGCCUCCGUCCUCCUCCCGGGGGACGGGCCCGAAAGGCAGCGGCGGCACCGCGUCCGGUCCUCGAGCGUAUGGGGCUUCGUCACCCGCUCUUGUAGGCCCGGCCGGCGCUUGCCGACACAUCAAUCUUUUUUCCAGGUUGACCUCGGAUCAGGUAGGAAUACCCGCUGAACUUAAGCAUAUCAAUAGCGGAGGA
rnacentral:misc_RNA from 1 species